rnacentral:misc_RNA from 1 species
AGUCGUAACAAGGUCUCCGUUGGUGAACCAGCGGAGGGAUCAUUACCGAGUUUACAACUCCCAAACCCAAUGUGAACGUUACCAAACUGUUGCCUCGGCGGGAUCUCUGCCCCGGGUGCGUCGCAGCCCCGGACCAAGGCGCCCGCCGGAGGACCAACCUAAAACUCUUAUUGUAUACCCCCUCGCGGGUUUUUUUUAUAAUCUGAGCCUUCUCGGCGCCUCUCGUAGGCGUUUCGAAAAUGAAUCAAAACUUUCAACAACGGAUCUCUUGGUUCUGGCAUCGAUGAAGAACGCAGCGAAAUGCGAUAAGUAAUGUGAAUUGCAGAAUUCAGUGAAUCAUCGAAUCUUUGAACGCACAUUGCGCCCGCCAGUAUUCUGGCGGGCAUGCCUGUCCGAGCGUCAUUUCAACCCUCGAACCCCUCCGGGGGGUCGGCGUUGGGGAUCGGCCCUCCCUUAGCGGGUGGCCGUCUCCGAAAUACAGUGGCGGUCUCGCCGCAGCCUCUCCUGCGCAGUAGUUUGCACACUCGCAUCGGGAGCGCGGCGCGUCCACAGCCGUUAAACACCCAACUUCUGAAAUGUUGACCUCGGAUCAGGUAGGAAUACCCGCUGAACCUAAGCAUAUCA